GAUGAACGCUGGCGGCGUGCCUAAUACAUGCAAGUCGAGCGAACGGACGAGAAGCUUGCUUCUCUGAUGUUAGCGGCGGACGGGUGAGUAACACGUGGAUAACCUACCUAUAAGACUGGGAUAACUUCGGGAAACCGUAGCUAAUACCGGAUAAUAUUUUGAACCGCAUGGUUCAAAAGUGAAAGACGGUCUUGCUGUCACUUAUAGAUGGAUCCGCGCUGCAUUAGCUAGUUGGUAAGGUAACGGCUUACCAAGGCAACGAUGCAUAGCCGAACUGAGAGGGUGAUCGGCCACACUGGAACUGAGACACGGUCCAGACUCCUACGGGAGGCAGCAGUAGGGAAUCUUCCGCAAUGGGCGAAAGCCUGACGGAGCAACGCCGCGUGAGUGAUGAAGGUCUUCGGAUCGUAAAACUCUGUUAUUAGGGAAGAACAUAUGUGUAAGUAACUGUGCACAUCUUGACGGUACCUAAUCAGAAAGCCACGGCUAACUAAGUG
rnacentral:rRNA from 1 species